rnacentral:lncRNA from 1 species
CUCUCCGGGCCUCCGGCUCCGUAUAGCCGCGCAUCCUAGCCCGAAGCUGAUGCUGCCCGGUCGGCUCCGGCCUUCCCGGCUGCCUGACCCGCCGGGCCCCAAGCCCCGGGCUCCGGCCUGGGCCCAGCGGCCUGGAGCGCGGCCUUGGCCCGUCUGCCCGCCGCCUCGCCGCCACGACUUCGCCCGUCUGUGCCCCACCGGCCGCACCUUUGAAUAGGUAGUCGUACUCGUCGUCCCGGGUCCCCAUUGUCCUGGCGCUUCCGGCGGGAUCGGCGACUCCGCAGCCCCACCACAAACACCCGACGGGGGCGGAGCCGGCGCCGCGCAGAGCGGCGGUUGAAUGGCCUAUCAGCGGCGAGUGGAGUAGCGACGGGCACCCAGCGAAGCCAAUCAGAGAUGGAAGUAGUGCUCUGAGGGUGGGCGCCGCUUGGUACCACCCUCCUCGCCCUCGGUGUCCUGGAGAAAGGCGGAAGGAAUGCGGACCUUUUUGAAGUGACGGACGCGCCAGCCUAUCAGGGGCGAGCUCAAGAGGGCGGGGCGGAAGACUGCAGGAAUGAAAUGGAUUGACAGACCAAAUAACUAAUGAGAGGCUUGAUUGAGAACCUACCCGACUAUCAGAGGACCUGUCCGGGAAGAGAAAUGGGGCUACGUCCAGACAGAAUCUCGCUCUGUUGCCUGGGCUGGAGUGCAGUGGCACUGUAUCCGGAAUUGGGGGGUUCUUGGUCUCACUGACUUCAAGAAUGAAGCCAUGGACCCUUGCGAGAUGGGGGUUCCACCAUGUUGGCCCGGCUGGUCUCGAACUGCUGACCUCAAGUGACCUGCCUGUCUCGGCCUCACAAAUGGCUGGGAUUACAGGCACGAGACACCGUGCCUGGCCCUGGGAACAUGUUUACAUGGACUUUGUUCACUUUUUAAAACAAACUGAGGGUAACUUACUAGAUCUGUGAACUAAAGAAAGAGAAAAAAAAGAAAGAAAACAAACAAGAACAAAGAACAAAGUGUUCUGAGGUUGCUUUUAUUCCAAGAACUCUGUGAGCUCCGCCCAGAUACCAUUGGCGCCUGCUUGUGUCCCCAGGGGACCUACACACAACAGCACCAGCACCAUGAGGGCGCUCUCGACCCACACAAGCCCUGGUCCCCGUCAGUCAAUGUGACUGAGUCCGCCAUUGAGGCCAGUCUGGCUGGCCCCAAGUGGUCCCUCUGAGUCCCCAACUCCCUGGCCAGCAAGGAGUGAAGCUCCAUGCCCCUUGGUCCACGCCUCUAGAGUCUGAGCAUAUCCUGCAGCCUCGAUCUCAGGAGGCAACGCAUGCAGCCCCCCUGCACUCAGAAAGGGGGCUUCUCCAGUCGUGGUCUUCUUCUCUGUCCACAAGUUUCCAGAUGGCCCCUCCUUGGAGCCCCUGCCCAGGCAGGGAACGGCCACAUCCUCGGGCAGAGCCAAGAGUCACCGUCUUUCGUGGGCCUGGGACCAGGCCCAGCCAGGACGCUAGGAGGCUGCCUCUGCUGCCAUGGGCUGGAUCAACAUGGUGGUGGCCUGCAGCGGGUAGUAGCGGCCCCGCCAGGUCUUCCAGAAGAUUCCCUUCUUAAGCUUCUGCCGCUGCUGUGGGAUGGAGCGGAAGUACUGGCCGUUGAGGUUGGAAUGGCUGCAGGUGCCAAACCACCAGCCUCCUGCCGGGGUCAGGGGAGAGGGAACAUGGUCAGGUCUUUGAGCCACCGAUGGGGCUGAAAGGAGAUAGGGAUAGGGUUGAGGAUGAGGCAGGUUGGGGACCAGGCUGGGCUUUGGACUUGACUUUUUUUUUUUUGAGAUUGAGUCUUACUCUGUCACCCAGGCUGGAGUGCAGUGGUGCGAUCUCAGCUCACUGCAACCUCCGUCUCUCAGGUUUAAGUGAUUCUCCUCCCUCAGCCUCCCGAGUAGCUGGGAUUACAGGCGCCUGCCACCACACCUGGCUAAUUUUUGGUCUUUUUUUUUGAGACUGAGUCUCACUCUAUCUCCCAGGCUGGAGUGCAGUGGCACAAUCUCGGCUCACUGCACCUCUGCCUCCCAGGUUCAAGGGAUUCUCAUGCCUCAGCCUCCUGAGUAGCCGGGAUUACAGGCACCCGCCACCACGCCUGGCUAGUUUUUGUAUUUUUAGUAGUGAGGGGGUUUCACCAUGUUGGCCAGGUUGGUCUCAAACUCCUUACCUCAUGUGAUCCACCCUCCUCAGCCUCCCAAAGUGCUGGGAUUACAGGUAUGACCCACUGCGCCUGGCCUAAUUUUUGUAUUUUUAGUAGAGACAGGGUUUCACCAUGUUGGCCAGGCUAGUUUUGAACUCCUGACCUCAGGUGAUCCACCCACCUCGGCCUCCCAAAGUGCUGGGAUUACAGGUGUGAGCCCCCACACCCGGCCUUAUUUUUAAGUUUAAAAACAAUUUUUUUUGAGACAGGGCCUGGCUCCAUUGCCCAGGCUGGAGUGCAGUGGUGUGGUGAUGGCUCAAUGCAGCGUCAACCUUACGGGCUCAAGUGAUUCUUGUACCUGGGCCUCCCAAGUAGCUGGGACCACAGGUGUGAGCCACCAUGCCUGCAUUUUUUCUUUUUCUUUUGAGGCAGGGGUCUCACUCUGUCACCCAGGCUUGAGUGCAGUGGCGCAGUCUCAGCUCACUGCAGCCUUAUCUCCUAGGCUCAAGAGAUCCUCCCAACUCAGCCUCCCAAGUAGAUGGGAACACAGGCAGGCACCACCAUGCCCAGCUAGUUUUUUGUAUUUUUAAUUGAGACAGGAUUUCGCCCUGUUGCUCAGAUUGGUCUCCUGGGCUCAAGUGAUCCACUCGCUUCAGCCUCCCAAAGUGCUGGGAUUGCAAGUGUGAGCCACCGUGCCUAAUUUUUUUUUUUUUUUGAGAAUUGCUUGAACCCGGGAGGUGGAGGUUGCAGUGAGCCGAGAUCGCACCACUGCACUCCAGCUUAGGCAACAGAGUGAGACCCUGUUUCAAAAAAAAAAAAAAAAAAAGAAUCCUGUGGAGCACCAUUAUAAAGAUGUUUGUGGCCGGGUAUUGUGGCUCACGCCUGUAAUCCCAACACUUUGGGAGGCCGAGGUGGGCAGAUCACUUGAGGUCAGGAGUUCAAGACCACCCUGGCCAACAUGGUGAAACCCCGUCUCUACUAAAAAUACAAAACAAUUAUCUGUGCAUGGUGGCGGGAACCUGUAAUCCCAGCUACUCAGGAGGCUGAGGCAGGAGAAUCACUUGAACCCAGGAGGCGGAGGCUGCAGUGAGCCAAGAUCACGUCACUUGCACUCCAGCCUGGGAGACACAGCGGGACUCUGUCUCAAAAAAUAAAUAAGUAGGCCGGGCGCGGUGGCUCACGCCUGUAAUCCCAGCACUUUGGGAGGCUGAGGCAGGCAGAUCACGAGGUCAGGAGAUCGAGACCAUCCUGGCUAACACGGUGAAACCCCAUCUCUACUAAAAAUACAAAAAAAUUAGCCAGGCGUGGUGGUGGGCACCUAUAGUCCCAGCUACUCGGGAGGCUGAGGCAGGAGAAUGGUGUGAACUCAGGAGGUGGAGCUUGCAGUGAGCCAAGAUCGUGCCACAAAGCACUCCAGCCUGGGUGACAAAGUGAGACUCCGUCUCAAAAAAUAAAUACAUAAAUAAAUAAAUAAACAAACACAUAAGUAAAUAAAAGUAAAGACGGUCAAGACCCUUUUCAGGAUGGGAAAACUGAGGCCAGAUAGGCUAAGUUAGUGGCCCAAUCACACACACGGCAUGUAAGGAAGAGGUGGGGGCAGGAAACAGAUGCAAUGUGGGGUUGAAGGCAGGACAGAGCAGCAGAAAGAUAAGGAGGGAAGCUGCUGGCUGGGUGUGGCAUGGCAGGGCCUGCUCACCAGAGAGGCUCUUGGCGCAGUUCUUGUCCCUGCGGAGGUCGUGAUCCUGGUCCCAAGUGGAGAAGGGUACGGAGAGGCCGCUGGGUGGGACGGUGGUGGCGCCCAGCUGGCCGGCCACGGGUGCAGUGAGCUGCAGGCUAUAGGCCGUGUCCUCGCCACCCAGGUGCACGGAGAACUGCAGCAACUCGGCGUUGCCAUCCCAGUCCCGCAGCUGCACGGCCAGGCGGCUGUUGCGGUCCCCCGUGAUGCUAUGCACCUUCUCCAGACCCAGCCAGAACUCGCCUGGAGUGGGAGAGGCCACUCCAUGAGGCAGGGCCACUUCUGAGGGUCCCUCUUCCUCCCCUGCCUCUGUCCCCACUAGAAACACCUACCGUGGGGAUCCCCAAACCCCGCCUUGUAGGCUUCCCAGGGCCGGUUGAAGUCCACUGAGCCAUCGUGGCGCCUCUGAAUUACUGUCCAGCCUCCAUCUGCCCAGAAAGGUACAAGGUCACCAGGAAGUCCCUCUUCACAGACGACCCCACUCCCUCAUCUGGCUGCCAAGCACCAAACCCCCUCCAAACCCAGGAAGACAGCAGCUCCCUCACUCAUCCCUGGAGGACUCGAGGAGGGUGGGUCAGAGGGAGGAAUAUUAUGGGCUGGCCUUGGGAAGAUCUUUGUCCCAAGAACCCAGCAGGGACUGAGUGUGGGAGGGAGUAGGCAGUGGAAAUCUGCAAAGCCUCUCUGGGCCAGCUGAACUGGGUAAAACCCCGUGUUGUAACCUCUUGUAAUGGAAAGGACUUCUCAGUGGAAAAAAAAGCUUUCUUUUUUUUUUUUUUUUUUUUUAGAGAUGGAGUCUCACUCUGUUGCCCAGGCUGGAUCGCAGUGCCGCAAUCUCAGCUCACUGCAACCUCUGCCUUCGGGGCUCAAGCGAUUCUUGUGCUUCAGCCCCACAAGCAGCUGGAAUCACAGGCACGCCCGGCUAAUGUUUAUGUUGGUAGAGAUAGGGUUUCACCAUGUUGGCCAGGCUGGUCUUGAACUUCUGACCUCAAGUGAUUUGCCCGCCUCAGCCUCCCAAAGUGCUGGCAUUUCAGGUGUAAGCCACCGUGCUCAGCCUUUGUUUUUUUUUAGAAACGAGGUUUUGUUGUGUUGCCCAGGUUGGAGUGCGGUGGCUAUUCACAGGUGUGAUCACGGCUCACGGCAGCCUUUAACUCCUGGGCUGAAGUGACCCUCCUGCCUUGGCCUCCCGAGUAGCUGGGACUACAGGCAUGUGCCACCAUGCCCAGCAAGGGCUGAAUUUUAUUUUAUUUUAUUUUAUUUUCUCUUUUUUAUUUUUUUGAUGGGGGGACGGAGUCUCGCUCUGUCGCCCAGGCUGGAGUGCGGUGGCGUCAUCUCAGCUCACUGCAACCUCUGCCUCCCAGGUUCAAGAGAUUCUCCUGCCUCAGCCACCUGAGUAGCUGGGAUUACAGGUGCACACCACCAUGCCCGGCUAAUUUUUGUAUUUUUAGUAGAGACGGGGUUUCACCAUGUUGGUCAGGCUGGUCUCGAACUCCUGACCUCGUGAUCUGUCUGCCUCAACCUCCCAAAGUGCUGGGAUUACAGGUGUGAGCCACUGCACUUGGCCUUUUUUUUUACUUUUACAAAAUUUUUUGUAAAGAUGAGCUCUCACUAUGUUGUCCAGGCUGGUCUCGAACUUCUGGGCUCAAGUGAUCCUCAUGAUAGGCCUCCCAAAGUGUCGGGAUUACAGAUAUGAGCCACUACACCCAGACAAGGGCUGCAUUUUAAAGAAAAGAGGCCAGGAGCAGUGGCUAAUGCCUAUAAUCCCAGCAUUUUGGGAGGCCAAAGUCGGCAAAUCAUUUGAGGUCAGGAGUUUGAGACCAGCCAGACCAACAUGGUGAAACCCAGUCUCUACUAAAAAUACAAAAAUUAGCUGGGUGUGGUUGCUCGCACCUGUAGUCUCAGCUACUGGGGAGGCUGACGCUGGAGAAUUGCUUGAACCCGGGAGGCGGAGGUUUCAGUGAGCUGAGAUCGUGGCAUUGCACUCCAGCUCCAAGAGCAAAACUCCAUCUCAAAAAAAAAAAAAAAAAAAAAGACCAGCUUGGGCAACAUAGCAAGACCCUGCCUUUAAUUUUUUUGUUUUGUUUUGUUUUCAAUUUAAAGAAAGACAACAGGGCCUAUGGGGAGAGGGGCCCCUGGUGGACUAACACACCCUACCUGAGGUCAUCUUGCAGUUCACCAAAAAUGGCGGAGACCCCUGAGGCUGGAUUUCAAAUAGUCCACUCUGCCUCUCCCCAACCUGGAACAGCUCCUGGCAAUCCCUGGGCAGCCCUGAAGGGAGAUAAAGUGGAGACUUGAAACAGGAGGGCAGCCCCUGGGGGGGGUCUCAGGAGCCAGGCAUAUCUGGGGGCUUAACAGUGGAUGACCAGGGAAGUAAAAGGCAAAUCUUAUCUCAUGACCACCUCUCUGCCAUCUGCCUAACCUCUUCCAUGGCUCCCUAUGUCCUUCCUCAGCAUGGUCCACAAGGCACCUGGAGGACCAGCCCCCGUGCCCAUCCUCCUCCUGCCAUGCUGUACCCACACCCUCUCUGGCACACAGGCUUUCUUCCCACCCUUGUACCACACACCGUCCUGCCACAGGGACUUUGCACAUGCUGUUCCCCCUGCCUGGGACUCUCUUUUUUUGUUUUGUUUUUUGAUACGGAGUCUCGCUCUGUCGCCAGGCUGGAGUGCAGUGGCGCAAUCUUGGCUCACUGCAACCUCCGCCUCCCAGGUUCAAGCAAUUCUGCCGCAGCCUCCGGAGCAGCUGGGACUACAGGCAUGUGCCACCACGCCCGACUAGUUUUUGCAUUAUUUGUAGAGACGGGGGUUUCACCAUGUUGGCCAGACUGGUCUCGAUCUCCUGACCUCGUGAUCCGCCAGCCUUGGCCUCCCAAAGUGCUGGGAUUACAGGUGUGAACCACUGCGCCCGGCGGGACUCUCUUUCCUCACUUCUCUCUCUGGGUCCCAGCUUCUGGAAGGACACCCUGCCUUGCCUCACCCCCAGACCAGGCCAGAACACCCCAAAUGGGAAUUGAGCAAGGACUUCCCACUCCUGGACACUGAGGUCAUCUAAUGGUCUCUCCUCUGACUCAAUGGAGGCUCCAUGAGGCUGGGGACAAGGAGCAGCUCUGCCCACAGCCUGGCACCAGCAUCCACGCAGGCCCCAGCGCAUAGCAGCUGCUCAAUAAAGACUUGAGGAAUGGGCCGGGCGCAGUGGUUCAUGCCUGUAAUCCAGCACUUUGGGAGGCGGGCGGAUCGGUCAGGAGUUUGAGACCAGCCUGGUCAACAUGGCCAAACCCCAUCUCUAGUAAAACAUACAAAGAUUAGCUGGGUGUGAUGGUGGACGCCAGUAAUCCCAGCUCCUUAGGAGGCAGAGGCAGGAGAAUCACUUGAACCCGGGAGGCAGAGGUUGCAGUCAGCUGAGGUUGAACCAUUGCACUCCAACCUGGGUGACAGAGUGAGACUCUGUCUCAAAAAAAAAAAAGACUUGAUAAAUGAAUAAAAAUUAGCUGGGCGUGGUGGCGGUAGGCGCCUAUAAUCCCAUCUACUUGAGAGGCUGAGGCAGGAGAAUCACUUGAACCCAGUGGGAGGCAGAGGUUGCAGUGAGCUGAGAUUGCGCCACUGCACUCCAGCCUGGACAACAGAGCGAGACUCCGUCUCAAAAAGCAAACAAAACAGUCUUGACAAAUGAAUGAAUGAAUGAAUGAAUGAGGCAGCAGGUCCAGAACGGGAAGAACUGUGCUGAGCAGGAGCAUCUCAGAGGCUCUGCCUGGGGUCCCAGCUCCUAGAGGGAGAGGAGGCAGGGUUGAGGAAAGAAAGAGGGAGGGAGGAGGGGAGGAUGGCGUUGAGCACGUCUGGAGGCUCAGACGCUCCAGACUGGGAGGAACCGCCCCCAGCCCAGCCGGAAAAGUAGGGGAAAGGUCGAAAUGAGUCUGCACGGUGGGGGUGGGGGCGGGCCCAGAGUGACCAGGAAGACGCUUUCCGGCCCCUCAGGCAUCUCCCCUUUCCCCUACUUUCCUCCCAUCCAGUAAGGAUGGGCACGCGGCCAAACCACCAGUGUGGCUUCCAUGAAUGCCAGCUGUUCGCCUUCCCAGCUCUGAACUUUCUCCUACUUGGCGGGCCUGAGCCAAGAGUCUGGGAGUCCCGAACCCACAGAACCCCUGCCCCCUUCCACCGCAUUUCCCAGCCAGGACUUGUGCCUUCCCCCGUCACCCUCCAGAAGCCCCUCAUCCUGGGAUGGUGGCUUUGGGAGGGUGGACAGGACCCUGACCACGCUGAGAUGCUAGCCUGGCGGGGUUGGGGGCGGGCAGCACGGAGGUGGGAAGGAGCGGGAGCUUGGGGAGGAGAGAACCCUCAGGUCUACAGUGCUGGAAGCCUGCCACUGACCCUAGGGUGUGAGAGGGGGAUCCAAACUUUCACCCAGUUGGCUGUGGACAGCCACAGAUGCAGGGAAGGAUGAGGACCACAGAGAAACCGUGUGGGGCCGUGAACUUAGAGAACCGCGAGUCUGCAUCGGACACACGUGGACAUGCUGUGGUUCGAGAUGAACGGAGAUUUGGGAAUAAAGCACCUACAACUUGUGGUGGCAGCAAAAGCCCACUUUCUGCGGUGGGGAGGGGGCCGGCGGGGGCGGGGAGGGAGGAGGAGAACAAGAGAGGAAGGAGGAAGAGGGGUCAGGGACCUGGAGCAUUGGAUUUGUAAGAUACAAGAGUGUUUCUGGUCUGGGAGCUGGGGGUUCCCAGCCCUAAUUCCCACAUACCCCAAGACAUUGUGGAGGGCCCAAAUCUACAAACACUACUACCUGGCACCCCCUCCUCCAUGACACCCUCCCCUAGAAGGUUCUAACCUUCAGGAUGGCACCCCGAACCCCAUUUCUACCUUCUCCAGCACCCCUGCAGCUCAAGUCCCUCAAGACCUCUUUCUCCACCUCUGUUCCAAUCAGUGAUCAGCAGGGCUUCAGGGACAGCCCACUGGCUUGCAGAGGAGAAGGGUUGGGUGGCCUGGCUGGGCCAGGUCAGGGCUGAGGAAGGAGGUGCUCCCAUCAGCUUUGACCCAGAGACUGGUGAGCCCUCAGGGACUCCAGGCCAGGACAUCUUCUCCUUAAGGUGGACCUGACAAGGAGAGGACCAGCAAUGGCAAGUGGCGGGGUAGGGGUGGCCACCGGAGAGCAUCGAGGGGCAGACACUCACGGUGCAGGCGGCUGACAUUGUGAGCCGGGUCAACUGGCUGGGCCAUCUCGGGCAGCCUCUUUCUUCGGGCAGGCUUGGCCACCUCAUGGUCUAGGUGCUUGUGGUCCAGGAGGCCAAACUAGGAUGGGACGGGAGGAGGGUGUCAGGUCCUGCCUGGCCCCACGUCCCCAGCCACACGUCCAGUUCUCACCACCUCCCUCUCAACCUGGGGUCCAGCUAUCAGAGGGACCUUUUCUCCCUUGAUCCUAGGGUUACCUGGCUUUGCAGAUGCUGAAUUCGCAGGUGCUGCUUCUCCAGGUGCCGCUGCUGCUGGGCCACCUUGUGGAAGAGUUGCUGGAUCCUGCUGUUCUGAGCCUUGAGUUGUGUCUGGGGAGGGGUGAAAACCUUGGUGAGGACCCAGCUUGCCUACCCCAACCUCUUAAUUCAUCCACUCAUCCAUCCUUCCAAAUCUCCAUCCGCUGAGGCCAGGCAAGGGAGUCUUUCUUUUUUCUUUUUUUUCCCAAUGACGGGGUCUCGUUCUCUCGCCCAGGCUGGAGUGCAGUGGUGCUGUCACAGCUCACUGCAGCCUCCAACUCCUGGGGUCAGGCGAUCCUCCUGUUUUCAGCCUCCUGUGUAGCUGGGACUACAGUCAUGCAGCUCUAUGCCUGGCUUAUUUUUUAUUUUUUCAGACAGAGUCUCGCUCUGUCACCCAGGUUGGAGUGCAGUGGCGCAAUCUUGGCUCACUGCAACCUCUGCCUCCCAGACUCAAGUGAUUCUUGUGUCUCAGCCUCCCAAGUAGCUGCCACCACAC